UACGUAGGGGGCUAGCGUUGUCCGGAAUCAUUGGGCGUAAAGAGCGUGUAGGCGGUCCGGUAAGUCCGCUGUGAAAGUCGGGGGCUCAACCCUCGAAUGCCGGUGGAUACUGUCGGGCUAGAGUGCGGAAGAGGCGAGUGGAAUUCCUGGUGUAGCGGUGAAAUGCGCAGAUAUCAGGAGGAACACCGAUUGCGAAGGCAGCUCGCUGGGACGGUACUGACGCUGAGGCGCGAAAGCGUGGGGAGCGAACAGG
rnacentral:rRNA from 1 species